rnacentral:rRNA from 1 species
AACGAACGCUGGCGGCGCGUCUUAAACAUGCAAGUCGAACGGCAGGAAGGGGCUUGCCCCUUCUGAGAGUGGCGGACUGGUGAGUAACACGUGGGUGACAUACCUUUUAGUUGGGGAUAGCUAUUAGAAAUAGUAGGUAAUACCGAAUGUGACCGUACCUGUUAGAGGGGUACGAGGAAAGGAGCUAAGGCUUCGCUAAAAGAAUGGCUCACGGCCCAUUAUGCUCGUUGGUGAGGUAACGGCCCACCAAGGCGAUGAUGGGUAUCCGGCCUGAGAGGGUGAACGGACACAUUGGGACUGAGAUACGGCCCAGACUUCUACGGGAGGCAGCAGUUAAGAAUAUUCCGCAAUGGACGAAAGUCUGACGGAGCGACGCCGCGUGGAUGAAGAAUGCCGAAAGGUUGUAAAAUCCUUUUAAGCCUGAUGAAUAAGCACAGUAGGGAAUGAUUGUGCGGUGACCGUAGGGCUUGAAUAAGCACCGGCUAAUUACGUG